rnacentral:rRNA from 1 species
GACGAACGCUGGCGGCGUGCCUAAUACAUGCAAGUUGAGCGCUGAAGGUUGGUACUUGUACCGACUGGAUGAGCAGCGAACGGGUGAGUAACGCGUGGGUAAUCUGCCUUUGAGCGGGGGACAACAUUUGGAAACGAAUGCUAAUACCGCAUAAAAACUUUAAACACAAGUUUUAAGUUUGAAAGAUGCAAUUGCAUCCCUCAAAGAUGAUCCCGCGUUGUAUUAGCUAGUUGGUGAGGUAAAGGCUCACCAAGGCGAUGAUACAUAGCCGACCUGAGAGGGUGGUCGGCCACAUUGGGACUGAGACACGGCCCAAACUCCUACGGGAGGCAGCAGUAGGGAAUCUUAGGCAAUGGACGAAAGUCUGACCGAGGAACGCCGCGUGAGUGAAGAAGGUUUUCGGAUCGGAAAACUCUGUUGGUAGAGGAGAACGUUGGUGAGAGGGGAAAGCGCAUCAAGUGACGGUAACUACCCAGAAAGGGACGGCUAACUACGUG